rnacentral:misc_RNA from 1 species
UCACCGCUUGCGCGGGCAGUCUCAUUAGAGUCCCCAGCUUUACCUGAUGGCAACUAAUGAUAGGGGUUGCGCUCGUUACGGGACUUAACCCAACACCUCACGGCACGAGCUGACGACAGCCAUGCAGCACCUAGUUUCGCGCCCUUGCGGGAAGAUCCCUUUCAGGACCGGUCGCUAACUUUCAAGCCCAGGUAAGGUUCCUCGCGUAUCAUCGAAUUAAACCACAUGCUCCUCCGCUUGUGCGGGCCCCCGUCAAUUCCUUUGAGUUUCAACCUUGCGGUCGUACUUCCCAGGUGGAUAACUUAAUGCUUUCGCUUAGUCGCUGACUGUGUAUCGCCAACAACGAGUUAUCAUCGUUUAGGGCGUGGACUAC